CACUAUUUAUCCCCGCCCCGCUACGCUUCUGUCCAAUGUGUACACCAGGCCAGUCGUGUGACAAAUGACGAUGGGCAGUACAGCAGUAGCUGUGGAAAUCGUGAACGUAGCCAUUGGUGUUCUGCAAACAUGGCUACCGAUGCUUCUGAGUUGGAGACUCCCGUAUUGAUCGAGGAAAACAGCGAAAUGCGUACAGAAAAGACCGAAAAGGAAAAGCAGCAAGAUCCAGAAGCAGUGAAAGAUGAGGCGGGUGAUAGCUGUGCAGAUGCACCGCUGAAAAUUGCGGAAGCGGUUGCGGAAUGCGUGCAAGACGGAGAAGUAGGGGAUGGGAAACCUGCUGCAGAUGAGGAGGCCGUGGCUGUCGGAGCGGUAGCUUCUGCGGAAGCGGUAGUGGUGGUGACAGUGGCAACAGUCGUAGCAGCAACAAGGGACGCGAAUGAUGACGUGGUGGUGGGAUGCCAACUUGCCAAAUCAGAGGAAGAUAGCCCGGUCCCGGAGGACGAUGUUGAUACUAGUGAUAAUGUUUUUGACGAUACGGUAAAGGAAAUAGAAAUAAAACCAGAAGAGCGCCAGUUGCCUGUUAUAGUGCGUGAAAGGCAUAGUUGCGUGAAAGGCAAAGACACCAGUGAGGAUGCCCCGGAGUCUGCGGAAGAGAAAACAAACACAGGAGGCGGGGACAAGAGGAGAGCCAGUGUAGAAAUGUCAUCCUCGGACGGAGAGCCACUCAGCCGGAUGGAUUCAGAGGACAGUAUCAGCAGUACCCUAAUGGACAUGGAGAGCACGGUAUCCAGCGGGCGUUCCACCCCAGCUAUGAUGAAUGGACAGGGCAGUGCCGCCCAGUGCCACUCCACUACCAAGGGCCAGGCGGUUGGCUAUACCUGUUGCUGGGACCAGUGUGGCCUCUGCUUCACCUGCAGCCCUGACCUGGCUGAACACAUCAGGGGCGUGCAUGUCGAUGGACAAAGAGGAGGGGUGGGUAGAACCAGGGUGUUUGUGUGUCUGUGGAAGGGCUGUAAGGUGUACAACACCCCUUCCACCAGUCAGAGCUGGCUCCAGAGACACAUGCUGACACACAGCGGAGACAAACCCUUCAAGUGUGUGGUCGGGGGCUGCAAUGCCAGUUUCGCGUCCCAGGGGGGGCUUGCGCGUCAUGUUCCCACCCACUUCAGCCAGCAGAGCUCCUCUAAGCUGUCCAGUCAGGGCAGACUGAAGGAGGAGUCACCCUCUAAGGCGGGGCUUAAUAAGAGAAAGAAACGAAUCCUGAUGAACAAACGCAGGCGCUCCCUACUGUCUCCUCUCCCACCAGCGAGGCCCCAUGACUUCUUCGAUGCCCAGACCAUGGACGCCAUCAGACACCGGGCUAUCUGCCUUAACCUGGCCACACACAUGGAGAGCACAGGCAAUGGACACAGUGUGGUGUUCCACAGCACGGUGAUAGCCAGGAGGAAAGAGGGCUCUGGGAAGGUAAAGGUGCUGCUCCACUGGACUCCAGAGGACAUCCUGCCUGAUGUGUGGGUGAACGAGACGGAGCGUUCUCAGCUGAAGACUAAAGUGGUUCACUUAUCCCAGCUACCACAGGACACCGCUAUGCUACUAGACCCCAACAUCUACAGAGCGUUACCACAGAAUCAGCUGAAGCGAAGUCUGUAAGGAGUCUUCUGUGGACAGAGGACUACAGAAGGGAAGAACUCCUGUUCUUAGGAUGUGGGCCUAUAUGGGAGCCUCUAAGUCUUGAAAGGAGGAGAGGAGACUAGCAGAAGGGACCCUGGACAGAGGAGAGAUGUUACAUCCUUUUUCUGGAGGCGGGAUAGGCAGGGCUGUUGCGUCAGUCAGUCUUCCCAUUCCCAUCAACCAAGCUGACAGUCACAGACUCAUGGUCUGUUCGCUCACUCCACUAAUCUACUCAUUAUCUACAGGCCAGAGGACUAAGAAAAGGCAAAAGUGAGGAGAGGCAAGAGAGGAGAGUCAGGAGAGGCAUCUCAGUCAUAUUCCACCAUAGCACAGCAGCAGUACAACUCUGUACUGUACAUACUAUUCAUCACCCCCCUUUAACACCUGGCCUGUCUUUUGGGAGGCAGGUUGACAGGCUGUCAUAUUGCCUUACUUAUGUGUGCCUUACACAUAUGUCGUGUGUGUGCGCAUCUGUCAUGUAUCACUGACUAGGUCAGGUUAUUGAACAAACAAAUCAGUGAUGGGAAAUAAGCUUGGGAAUUGUUCAGCUGUGGCAGAGCAAAUUUGUACACCUCUGAACAUUAACUAUGAAUGUCAGUGUUAAAGAAUGCCUGUAUUUGUCAUGUGGCUAGGUGUGGUCCGGUGUUCAGAGGGCAGAGUGAGACCAGAUAUCUCUAUGUUCUGAUCACAGCCCUGUAAUCUGACCCUCAAACACCAGUCAGUUAAUGUCCUCAGUUCUGAGCAGUCACCAGGAAGUCAACAAGAACUCAAACAGUAAUCCCCUAAAUUAGAUACAAAAGGGGAGUUCCCCAUUUGUAAUGAGAAAAAACAUCCCCCUUUCUUGUAUACAUUUUUAUUUAAAGCUAGAAGAAGCCCGGAUUCUAUCAGCAAUGUCUGGUCGGAAGAGAAUGAUCAUAUAGUGAAAUAUGGUUUAGAAUUAGUCUUUAGGAUUAAAAAUGAUAAAAAUAAUUUCUGUGUCUUCUUGGGAACAUCAUGGUUUGAUCUUUUAAGAACACCGCUGUCAUGGCUGGCUGUUCUGUUCUAGGGAAAGCCUUGUUGGGUAGACACACAGUGGACUGGAACACAAGCUAAUUGGCGGGUUAGCCAUUACCUGUCUGUAAACUAGUGGAGGCUGGUAGGGGGAGCUAUAGGAGGACGGGCCCAUUGUAAUGGCUGGAACGGAAUAAAUGAGCCCAUCCUCCUAUAGCUCCUCCCACCAGGAUCCACUGCUGUAAAACCUACUAAAAGUCUUUGUUACAUCCUUGGAAAGCUCUGCAGUACACUUGGCAACAGAGCUCUUCCCUCAUUGUGCUUGGGCCAGACUCCUUAUUGGCUUAAGAGCAAUAGAGAUGCGAAUCCAAUGUUUGAUUGUCUGUGAUGCAUACCCACACAUACCAACAAACUCUGUCAUACACAGUCACACAAACAAACUUUCACACGAAUACACCCAGUCUACACAGUCCCAAGUUAUUUCCAUAUCUGGCAAUGGGGUAAGGGGGACAUUUCAUCCAGUGAUGAGCGAGGGAGAGAGACCACACAGGAUGCGGAAGGAGAAUAAUUGUUACAAACCACUAAAGCCUUGAACAAAAAAAGGAAACCACAAGGGGAGAGGCAGCGAGCCAAUCAGAUUCUGACGACAACUGCAUUAAUCAAAGAAGGGUUCUGCUUGGUCUUGGAGAUGGGAAUAAAGAAACAAACCCAGCUGAACAGCCAUGCCUCUGUUACUGUGUUGACAGUCAGUUGAUGGGUAGUCCCUUCUAGUAAAUCUAUUUCUAUAGCGGUAGGGAUGAUGUGGGAAAGCUGUGGCAGUCCUCAUGAGAGCCAGUUUCAUCAUAUGGUUUUUGCGACUGCACUUGAAGAAAUGUUCAAAGUUCUUCACAUUUUCCGUAUUGACGGACCUUCAUGUCUUACAGUAAUGAUGGAUUGUCAAUUCUCUUUGCUUAUUUGAGCUGUUCUUGCCAUAAUAUGGACUUGGUCUUUUAACAAAUAGGGCUAUCUUCUGUAUAGCACCCCUACCUUGUCACAGCACAACUGAUUGGCUCAAACGCAUUAAGAAGAAAGAAUGGAAAUUCCACAAAAUGUACUUUCAACAAGGUUGUACAUGAUUUGUAACGGCACACACCUGUCUAUAUAAUGUAACAGCAAAAACCAAGCCAUGAGGUCAAAGGAAUUGUCCGUAGAGCUCCGAGACAAAACAUUUCUGAAGCAUUGAAGGUCCCGAAGUACAG